GGACGAACGCUGGCGGCGUGCUUAACACAUGCAAGUCGAACGGAAAGGCCCUGCUUUUGUGGGGUGCUCGAGUGGCGAACGGGUGAGUAACACGUGAGUAACCUGCCCUUGACUUUGGGAUAACUUCAGGAAACUGGGGCUAAUACCGGAUAGGAGCUCCUGCUGCAUGGUGGGGGUUGGAAAGUUUCGGCGGUUGGGGAUGGACUCGCGGCUUAUCAGCUUGUUGGUGGGGUAGUGGCUUACCAAGGCUUUGACGGGUAGCCGGCCUGAGAGGGUGACCGGCCACAUUGGGACUGAGAUACGGCCCAGACUCCUACGGGAGGCAGCAGCGGGGAAUAUUGCACAAUGGGCGGAAGCCUGAUGCAGCAACGCCGCGUGCGGGAUGACGGCCUUCGGGCUGUAAACCGCUUUCGCCUGUGACGAAGCGUGAGUGACGGUAAUGGGUAAAGAAGCACCGGCUAACUACGUG
rnacentral:rRNA from 1 species